rnacentral:lncRNA from 1 species
GAAGGUAUUACUAACAGUGUUAAUGUAAAAAAUAAUGAAGUAACAGAUGGUGAUGUUAAUAACAAUAACUUUAAUUUGCUUGAAAUAAUUAAUAAUAGUAACAUAAUUAUAAAUAAAACGAUUACUAAACCUGUCGAAAUUGUAGAUAUAAUUACAUGUAUAUUUGUUUUUAUUAACGCGGAUUCUGGUAAUAUUACUGAAGAAGAAAAAAAUAAUACGUGAUCUUACAUUAUAUAUUUUAAAAACAAAAGAAAAUUAUUAUUUUAAUAAUAUUAUAAAUAAUAAAAAAUAUAUAUUUAAGUAUCGUAAUAAUGUAAAAGAUGCUAUUAUGUUUAGUGAAUUAUCAAUCAGAAAAAAUGAAAAAAACGACAUUAUUGUAAUAGGGUUAGUGUUAAGUAAAGAUAUAUCUAUGAGUAGUGUACAGAUAGAUAUUCAUAAUUUAUAUGAUUUAAAAAAUUAUUUAAAUAAUAAAUAUACUAAUAAACAAUUUAACAUGAAUAUUAAAAUUUUUACUUUUUAUUGGAUAUAUGAAGUUUAUGUUUAUGGUUCAAUUUUUUUAAAAAACAAAGAGUUUCAUCAUAUUAUCCGAGAAUAUAAUGGUGUCUAUCAGUUACCGUACGAUGUCCAGUGGGAAAGCAAACCGCUUUGGGGAUUUUACCUCUAUAUCAUUCAAGAUAGCAUCGAAAGUAAAUACAAUGAAGAAAUUGUGAAGAACUUAAAAAACGAAGGAAUAAAUGUAAAAUUGUGCUGUGAAGACUUUAAUGUUAAUUUGUUGGAAGAUGACAUAAAAGAAAUUUUGAAUAUGCACAAUUUAGACAUAACCGAUUUAAAAUAUUCAAAUAAAAAUAUGUUUAUGAAUCUUAUAUUUUUAAUUGAAAAUUGUCACUUAACUUAUUUUAAUUUUUUAAAUACAGAAAAUAUAAAAAUAACACAAAGAAAUAAUUAUUUAUGUAUUCAAUUUUUUAAAACGAAAUUAUCGUUCCCAUCAUUUACUCUCAACACUCCUUUAUUAAAUGAUGCUUGGUUAAAAGAUGUUUUAUCAAAAAAAAACACUGUUACCUUUUAACGACUACUUUUACAAGUUUUGAAAAUUUUAACACUUGCUUACACGAAAAUUAUUACAUAUUUUGAUAUUUACGCAUUUUAUACUUACCCUAAAGUGUCAAUGUUAGUGCAUUAUAAACGUGUCGUCACUAUCUAUAUAUCUACAUAUAUACAUAUAUACAUAUAUACAUAUAUAGACAAACAUGAUCGAUCAGUUAUUAUGGCUUAUCUCAUUUCUUAUUUUUUCAUUUUAUGUAACAAAAUUAAAAAGUAACUCAAGCUUUAUUAAUAUAUAAAUUUAACUUUUUAAGAAAAAAAAAAAAAAAAAAAACAUAUUUUUUUUUACCACUUUUUUUUACAUUUUUAUCAUUUUUUUUUUUUUUGUGUAAUAAUAUACGUGUAUACAUCCAUAUAUACAACUAUAGAACUACACAUCUAUAUAAAUUGAAAACAAUUUUUAAUAUCGAUUUUGAUUUAAAAAGUUUUUAACAAAAAUGAAGUUAAUAAGUGAGUAACUUAUCGAAUGUUUAUGUGAAAAAAAAUAAAAAAAAAAUAAAACUUUUAUAAUAUUUAAUA